UAGGUUAUAGUUUAAAAAAAAUUUUGGCUUUGGGUGCUUUAGAUGCCAUUCUGGUUAGCCUAA
rnacentral:tRNA from 2 species